ACACCAUCUAUUGUAUUACUCCAAUGUAUGGCUGUAGCAUUGACAUUCCGGCAACGUGCAAAUCUUUGGUACAUGCUUUAGAAGCUUACUUUGCUGCAGAUAUACUUGAUGGUAACAAUAAAUUCUUUUGUGCAAGGUGUGGUCAACUGACAAGAG